rnacentral:rRNA from 1 species
GAUGAACGCUGGCGGCGUGCCUAAUACAUGCAAGUCGAGCGAAUGGAUUAAGAGCUUGCUCUUAUGAAGUUAGCGGCGGACGGGUGAGUAACACGUGGGUAACCUGCCCAUAAGACUGGGAUAACUCCGGGAAACCGGGGCUAAUACCGGAUAACAUUUUGAACCGCAUGGUUCGAAAUUGAAAGGCGGCUUCGGCUGUCACUUAUGGAUGGACCCGCGUCGCAUUAGCUAGUUGGUGAGGUAACGGCUCACCAAGGCAACGAUGCGUAGCCGAACGGAGUGGGUGAUCGGCCACACUGGGACUGAGACACAGCCCAGACUCCUACGGGAGGCAGCAGUGGGGAAUCUUCCGCAAUGGACGAAAGUCUGACGGAGCAACGCCGCGUGAGUGAUGAAGGCUUUCGGGUCGUAAAACUCUGUUGUUAGGGAAGAACAAGUGCUAGUUGAAUAAGCUGGCACCUUGACGGUACCUAACCAGAAAGCCACGGCUAACUACGUGCCAGCCGCCGCGGUAA